ACUCUGGUAGCUCAAUUGGAAGAGCGAUGGUCUCCAAAACCGUAGGUUGCAGGUUCAAGGCCUGCCCAGAGCGCCA
rnacentral:tRNA from 1 species